rnacentral:rRNA from 1 species
UACGUAGGUGGCAAGCGUUGUCCGGAUUUACUGGGCGUAAAGCGAGCGCAGGUGGUUUAUUAAGUCUGGUGUAAAAGGCAGUGGCUCAACCAUUGUAUGCAUUGGAAACUGGUAGACUUGAGUGCAGGAGAGGAGAGUGGAAUUCCAUGUGUAGCGGUGAAAUGCGUAGAUAUAUGGAGGAACACCGGUGGCGAAAGCGGCUCUCUGGCCUGUAACUGACACUGAGGCUCGAAAGCGUGGGGAGCAAACAGG